AGCAUUUGGGGGAACCACGACUGCGUUUCCCAAAAUGGGGUGACCAUGACCACUUCUGCCCGGUGUUUGCGGGUCUGUAGGAGUGAGCGCGGGAUCAUGGAAAAUGGGGGAAAGGCAUAUAGGAGGCCUCCGUUCCAGUCCUGUAGGAAGGCGUCCACUGCCUCCGCCAUUGGAUCUGGCCUCCAGCUGAAGAAGCGUGGGAGUUGGGCGUUGAGCUGGGAAGCGAAAAGGUCUAUGGUAAACGGUCCCCAGAGAUACGAUAUAUUGGAGAACACCUCCUUGGCC